UUUUAUAUAUAUUUUGUUUGAGGAUUUACUAUUCUUUAGUUUAAUUUAUGACACUUAGAAGUCACUCAUUUUUAUUUAUAAACUCAUGCAUUCUUGUUUAUGGGAACUUUAUAAUACUAAAUGUCCUUUCAGACAGUACGUUAUAGCAAAUGGAAUCAUAGGGAGUUUUUUUAUUAUGAGCAUCUAGAAAGUAGUUUGGUUGGCAUGUUAGUAGUAGCUGACAGGAUGCAAUAUGAAUGUAAAAGAUAUGAUAGAGGGAAAUGUAGUAGAUGUUCUCCACUCAGAUAUACAAUACAAAUAAAUAAUACAUCAGUUCCCAUAUCACAUGCAGUGAUUGGAAUUAUUUUAUAAACAUGUUAGCUGAUUAUUAUGUGAAAUUCACAAAGAUGAUUUGUUUUGCUUUGUAGCUAGUAGUGUUUCAUAAAACUAUCCCUUGUUUCCCAUGAAUUGUUGGACUUAAUUAA